AUUGAACGCUGGCGGCAGGCUUAACACAUGCAAGUCGAACGGUAGCAGGUAAGUACUUGUACUUAUGCUGACGAGUGGCGGACGGGUGAGUAAUGCUUGGGGAUCUGGCUUAUGGAGGGGGAUAACGACGGGAAACUGUCGCUAAUACCGCGUAGAAUCGGGAGAUGAAAGUGUGGGACCUUCGGGCCACAUGCCAUAGGAUGAACCCAAGUGGGAUUAGGUAGUUGGUGGGGUAAUG
rnacentral:rRNA from 1 species